GACGAACGCUGGCGGCGUGCCUAAUACAUGCAAGUCGAGCGGACUUUCAAGAAGCUUGCUUUUUGAAAGUUAGCGGCGGACGGGUGAGUAACACGUGGGCAACCUGCCUGUAAGACGGGGAUAACUCCGGGAAACCGGGGCUAAUACCGGAUAAUAUCUUUCUUCGCAUGAAGGAAGGUUGAAAGGCGGCGCAAGCUGCCGCUUGCAGAUGGGCCCGCGGCGCAUUAGCUAGUUGGUGAGGUAACGGCUCACCAAGGCGACGAUGCGUAGCCGACCUGAGAGGGGGAGCGGCCACGCUGGGACUGGGACACGGCCCAGACUCCUACGGGAGGCAGCAGUAGGGAAUCUUCCGCAAUGGACGAAAGUCUGACGGAGCAACGCCGCGUGAGCGAAGAAGGUCUUCGGAUCGUAAAGCUCUGUUGUCAGGGAAGAACAAGUACCGUUCGAAUAGGGCGGUACCUUGACGGUACCUGACCAGAAAGCCACGGCUAACUACGUGCCAGCCGCCGCCGUAA
rnacentral:rRNA from 1 species